rnacentral:rRNA from 1 species
AUUGAACGCUGGCGGCAGGCCUAACACAUGCAAGUCGAGCGAGCGGCGGACGGGUGAGUAAUGUCUGGGAAACUGCCUGAUGGAGGGGGAUAACUACUGGAAACGGUAGCUAAUACCGCAUACCAUCAGAUGUGCCCAGAUGGGAUUAGCUAGUUGGUGGGGUAAUGGCUCACCUAGGCGACGAUCCCUAGCUGGUCUGAGAGGAUGACCAGCGACACUUGAACGGAGACACGGUCCAGACUCCUACGGGAGGCAGCAGUGGGGAAUAUUGCACAAUGGGCGCAAGCCUGAUGCAGACAUGCCGCGUGGGUGAAGAAGGCCUUCGGGUUGUAAAGCACUUUCAGCGAGGAGGCGUUACCCGCAGAAGAAGCACCGGCUAACUCCGUGCCAGCAGCCGCGGUAAUAC